rnacentral:rRNA from 1 species
GGGGAAUAUUGCGCAAUGGGCGAAAGCCUGACGCAGCAACGCCGCGUGAGGGAAGAAGGUCUUCGGAUCGUAAACCUCUGUCGGGAGGGAAGAACGGCAUGGGGUCGAAUAGGCUCUGUGAUUGACGGUACCUCCAAAGGAAGCACCGGCUAACUCCGUGCCAGCAGCCGCGGUAAUACGGAGGGUGCAAGCGUUAUUCGGAAUUACUGGGCGUAAAGGGCGUGUAGGCGGCCUUGUGUGUCAGAUGUGAAAGCCCACGGCUUAACCGUGGAACUGCAUUUGAAACUGCAAGGCUUGGAGUGUGGGAGAGGGUAGCGGAAUUCCCGGUGUAGGAGUGAAAUCCGUAGAUAUCGGGAGGAGCACCAGUGGCGAAGGCGGCUACCUGGACCAUAACUGACGCUGAGACGCGAAAGCGUGGGGAGCAAAC